rnacentral:rRNA from 1 species
UCGUAACAAGGUCUCCGUUGGUGAACCAGCGGAGGGAUCAUUACCGAGUUUACAACUCCCAAACCCCUGUGAACAUACCUUAAUGUUGCCUCGGCGGAUCAGCCCGCGCCCCGUAAAACGGGACGGCCCGCCAGAGGACCCAAACUCUAAUGUUUCUUAUUGUAACUUCUGAGUAAAACAAACAAAUAAAUCAAAACUUUCAACAACGGAUCUCUUGGUUCUGGCAUCGAUGAAGAACGCAGCAAAAUGCGAUAAGUAAUGUGAAUUGCAGAAUUCAGUGAAUCAUCGAAUCUUUGAACGCACAUUGCGCCCGCUGGUAUUCCGGCGGGCAUGCCUGUUCGAGCGUCAUUUCAACCCUCAAGCCCCCGGGUUUGGUGUUGGGGAUCGGCUCUGCCCUUCUGGGCGGUGCCGCCCCCGAAAUACAUUGGCGGUCUCGCUGCAGCCUCCAUUGCGUAGUAGCUAACACCUCGCAACUGGAACGCGGCGCGGCCAUGCCGUAAAACCCCAACUUCUGAAUGUUGACCUCGGAUCAGGUAGGAAUACCCGCUGAACUUAAGCAUAUCA